rnacentral:misc_RNA from 1 species
AAGUCGUAACAAGGUUUCCGUAGGUGAACCUGCGGAAGGAUCAUUAAUGAAUGUAAGGAUGCUCUUUUUAGAGGUCCGACCCGAUCAUUUUUCCAACCCUGUGCACACACACUACUUUUUUAAUACACCAUUUUAAAAACUCGUAAAAGUCUAUAAGGAUGUAAAAGUCUCUUCAUUGAGCAUAAAAUAAAACAAAA